rnacentral:rRNA from 1 species
UACGUAGGGGGGCUAGCGUUGUCCGGAUUCAUUGGGCGUAAAGAGCGUGUAGGCGGUCCGUUAAGUCCGCUGUGAAAGUCGGGGGCUCAACCCUCGAAUGCCGGUGGAUACUGUCGGGCUAGAGUGCGGAAGAGGCGAGUGGAAUUCCUGGUGUAGCGGUGAAAUGCGCAGAUAUCAGGAGGAACACCUAUUGCGAAGGCAGCUCGCUGGGACGUAACUGACGCUGAGACGCGAAAGCGUGGGGAGCAAACAGG